UGGGGAAUAUUGCACAAUGGGCGCAAGCCUGAUGCAGCGACGCCGCGUGAGGGAUGACGGCCUUCGGGUUGUAAACCUCUUUCACCAAGGACGAAGCGCAAGUGACGGUACCUGGAGAAGAAGCACCGGCCAACUACGUGCCAGCAGCCGCGGUAAUACGUAGGGUGCGAGCGUUGUCCGGAAUUACUGGGCGUAAAGAGCUCGUAGGUGGUUUGUCGCGUUGUUCGUGAAAACUCACAACUCAAUUGUGGGCGUGCGGGCGAUACGGGCAGACUAGAGUACUGCAGGGGAGACUGGAAUUCCUGGUGUAGCGGUGGAAUGCGCAGAUAUCGAGGAGGAACACCGGUGGCGAAGGCGGUCUCUGGGCAGUAACUGACGCUGAGGAGCGAAAGCGUGGGGAGCGAACAGGAUUAGAUACCCUGGUAGUCCACGCCGUAAACGGUGGGUACUAGGUGUGGGUUCCUUCCUUGGGAUCCGUGCCGUAGCUAACGCAUUAAGUACCCCGCCUGGGGAGUACGGCCGCAAGGCUAAAACUCAAAUGAAUUGAC
rnacentral:rRNA from 1 species